CUAGCUUGGGAUGGGUCACUUGUUGAUUUAAGUCCCAAUUCGAUUCUUGCCCAGCGAGCAAAUCAUGUAUUUACCCCUAACCAGUGAGAGGGCCUUAUUAUUUGGGCGUGAGAAUAGACUAAGUAUCCUAUGUGGCCACUAGAGUGUGCCAGCCAACCGAGUGUCAGCUGACAGAAAAAAAAAAAACAUUAAAGAAGAGUUCAAUAGAACAUUAAAAAUCUGAACAGUCCAAAGAAUUGUUCCCACACGGAAAGGGGCUCUUUUUUCCCAUCACCCUUUUGCUAGAUAUGCUGAGGAAUGAACCCAAGAAUCCCAUAAAUAUAGAGUAUGAAACCACAAUAGUGGAUCAAGCACGCGAGGAGAAUGAUGGGUUGUCUGCUCUUGACGCUAUGGUGUUCGACGAUUUGCCUCACAGAAAUGGUCAAUUCUCUGCCAGAUGGAUAUUCGACCGAUCGAGAAACGAAAGAUAUCGUUGAGUUCCUAACUCCGCCACCAACAUUUCUACUGGAGUGGAUUUAUCGUAAAAGCAACGUAGGCACCACUCCUGGGAAAAGGGUCCGGGUGAGCGCCGCAAGCAUCUUUUCGGGGUCCUUGUUGACUUAGUUCAAGAAAUCAGGAUUUCCUCGAGAUCGAGCUUAGAGAGCUCGACAUUUUAUAGCAUUUUUUAGAAAUAGAAAGAGAAAAUGGUAUAUUUUUAUGUUAAUUUUGAUAUGUAUAUUUUAUGUUUUAUGUUUUAUGUAUUGAAGUCUUCAGAUAGAUGAAUAGUUGUGAAUAUUGGUAUUUGUGGAUUAUGUUUUAGAGACAUGUAUAUAUGUGAUUAUAGGUGGUGAAUAGUUAAUUUGGAUUAUGUAUAGGAAUAGUAAACUCUGGUAUUAUAUAAUUGAGGAUCAUAGUUAUGUUUUCUA